ensembl:lncRNA
GCCUGUCCUGACCCCAAGCCUCCCUGCUGUUCUGUACCUGCCUGACUUUGACCCGUUUAAGAACCUCUGCCUGUCCUGACCCCAAGCCUCCCUGCUGUUCUGUACCUUAUUGACUCUGCCCUGGAUUACGGACCUCUUUUGCCUGCUCCCUGUUUGGGUCAAUAAACAUCUGUGACUCUAGCUGUCUGCAUCUGGGUCUUAUCCUGAGUUCUGAUAGUCCCACAGUUGACAAUGCAUGUCAGAACAAAGUCAUGAGGACACAGGAAUUGUCCGUAGAGCACAGAGACAGGAUCGUGUCGAGGCACAGAUCUGGGGAAGAGUUCCAAAACAUUUCUGCAGCAUUGACGGUCCCCAAGAACACAGCCCGCUUGGAGUUUGCCAAAAGGCACCUAAAGACUCUCAGACCAUGAGAAACAAGAUACUCUGGUCUGAUGAAUACAAGAUUGAACUCUUUGGCCUGAAUGCUAAGCGUCAUGUCUGGAAUAAACCUGGCACCAUCCCUACGGUGAGCCUGGUGGGGGCAGUGUGAGCAUGGUGAGGGCAGCAUCUUGCUGUGGGGAAGUUUUUCAGCAGCAGGGACUGGGAGACUAGUUAGGAUCUAGGCAAAGAUGAACAGAACAAAGUACAAAGAGAUCCUUGAUGAAAACCUGCUCCAGAGUCCUCAGGACCGCCGACUGGGGCGAAGGUUCACCUUCCAACAGGACAACAGCCCUAAGCACACAGCCAAGAUGACACAGGAGUGGCUUCAUGACAAGUCUCUGAAUGUCCUUGAGUGGCCCAGCCAGAGCCUGUAUUUGAACACGAUCAUACAUCUCUGGAGAAACCUUAAAAUAGCUGUGCAGCAACGGUCCCCAUCCAACCUGACAGAGCUUGAGAGGAUCUGCAGAGAAGAAUGGGAGAAACUCCCAAAAUACAGGUGUGCCAAGCUUGUGUGUCAUACCCAAGAAGACUCGAGGCUGUAAUUGCUGCCAAAGGUGCUUCAACAAAGUACUGAGUAAAGGGUCUGAAUACUUAUAUAAAUGUGAUAUUUCAGUCCUUUUUUUUUUGCUAAAAAAAUCUAAAAACCUGUUUUUUCUUUGUCAUAAUGGGGUAAUGUGUGUAGAUUGAUGAGGGGGGAAACUAUUUAAUCAAUUCUAGAAUAAGGCUGUAAUGUAACAAAAUGUAGAAAAGUUGAGGGGUCUGAAUACUUUCGAAUGCACUGUAUGGUCAUUGAUCAACUUCAAUAUUGCCCCUUGACACAUUCAAAUGUAAAGAUAAAGUAAAAUAGUUGAGGCAGCUUUUAUUUUUGCAAAUACGUUCACUUUAUUUGUAUUUUUUACCACAAAAUAAUGAAAUAUGCAGCAUCCCUUAAUUUUUACAUUAAAAAUAGUUAUUACAAUCAAUGAUAUGAGCAUUAUAUGGAUACAAGUAUGAAGUUGCAGUGCAAAGGCUUACAAAAUCUUGAGCAAAAUCAAAUAUAUUACUUUAAAAUUCUUUACCCUAAAUUACAGAGGUGCAAAUGAUCCCUUUGGGCCUCAACCAAUAUCCACAUAAAAUUAGUUCAAACAUAUUUCAUUUAGAUCUAAUAAAACUAUUCAAAAUAAAAAAUCCACCUUGUAUAAACUCACCUUUCCAUGUUAAGACUCCUCCUUACCUGUCCACAAAUAAAAUAUAGGUGAUCAACUAAAUCCUCCGGUCUUUUUACUGACCCUUAUUCCAAUCACAGAGGAGGCUUUACCUCUUCUCUGUGUCUGGUCAGGUCUGGUCAGGUUUGGUCUGGUCAUUAUGCUGGUCAGGUCAGGUCUGGUCAGGUAUGGUCAUUAUGCUGGUCAGGUCAGGUCAGGUCUGGUCAGGUCAGGUCAGGUCUGGUCAGGUCUGGUCAGGUCAGGUCAGGUCAGGUCUGGUCAGGUCUGGUCAGGUCAGGUCUGGUCUGGUCAGGUCAGGUCUGGUCAGGUCUGGUCAGGUCAGGUCUGGUCAGGUCAGGUCAGGUCUGGUCAGGUCUGGUCAGGUCAGGUCUGGUCAGGUCAGGUCAGGUCAGGUCAGGUCUGGUCAGGUCAGGUCAGGUCAGGUCUGGUCAGGACAUUAUGUUGGUCAGGUCUGGUCAGGACAUUAUGCUGGUCAGGUCUGGUCAGGACAUCAUGCUGGUCUGGUCUGGACAUUAUGCUGGUCAGGUCUGGUCAGGUCUGGUCAGGACAUUAUGCUGGUCGGGUCAGGACAUUAUGCUGGCCAGGUCUGGUCAGGACAUUAUGCUGGUCGGGUCAGGACAUUAUGCUGGCCAGGUCUGGUCAGGACAUUAUGCUGGUCAGGUCUGGUCUGGUCAGGUCAGGUCUGGUCAGGACAUUAUGCUGGUCAGGUCUGGUCAGGUCAGGUCAGGUCUGGUCAGGACAUUAUGCUGGUCAGGUCAGGUCUGGUCUGGUCAGGUCUGGUCAGGUCAGGUCUGGUCAGGUUUGGUCAGGACAUUAUGUUGGUCAGGUCUGGUCAGGACAUUAUGCUGGUCAGGUCUGGUCUGGUCAGGUCAGGUCUGGUCAGGUCUGGCCAAGUCUGGUCUGGUCAGGACAUUAUGCUGGUCAGGUCUGGUCAGGACAUUAUGCUGGUCUCGUCUGGACAUUAUGCUGGUCAGGUCUGGUCUGGUCAGGUCAGGUCUGGUCACAACAUUAUGCUGGUCAGGUCAGGUCAGGUCUGGUCAGGUCUGGUCAGGACAUUAUGCUGGUCAGGUCUGGUCUGGUCAGGUCUGGUCUGGUCAGGUCAGGUUGGUCUGGUCAGGUCUGGUCUGGUCUGGUCUGGUCUGGUCUGGUCAGGUCAGGUCUGGUCAGGUCAUGUCUAAAGUCUGGUCAGGUCUGGCCUGGUCUGGUCUGGUCAGGUCUGGUCAGGUCUGGUCAGGACAUUAUGCUGGUCAGGUCUGG